UUCGCAAUGCCCGAAAGGGUGACGAAGCGACGCCGCGUGGGUGAGGAAGGCCUUCGGGUUGUAAAGCCCUGUCAGGAGUUAAGAAAUAUAAGUGCGCUAAUAUCGCAUUUAUUUGACGAAGGCUCCAGAGGAAGCCACGGCUAACUCUGUGCCAGCAGCCGCGGUAAUACAGAGGUGGCAAGCGUUGUCCGGAAUUAUUGGGCGUAAAGAGCACGUAGGUGGGUUUGUAAGUCAGAUGUGAAAGCCUUCUGUUCAACGGAAGAAUUGCAUCUGAAACUGCAAGUCUUGAGUGUAGGAGGGGAGAAUGGAACUUCUGGUGGAGCGGUGAAAUGCGAAGAUAUCAGAAGGAACGCCGGCGGCGAAAGCGAUUCUCUGGCCUAUUACUGACACUCAGUGUGCGAAAGCUAGGGGAGCAAACGGGAUUAGAUACCCCGGUAGUCCUAGCUGUAAACGAUGGGCACUAAGUAGAGGGGUUUU
rnacentral:rRNA from 2 species